rnacentral:rRNA from 1 species
GGCGUCUCAGUUCGGAUUGCAGGCUGCAACUCGCCUGCAUGAAGUCGGAAUUGCUAGUAAUCGCGGAUCAGCAUGCCGCGGUGAAUACGUUCCCGGGCCUUGUACACACCGCCCGUCACACCAUGAGAGCCGGGAACACCCGAAGUCCGUAGUCUAACCAUUAAGGAGGACGCGGCCGAAGGUGGGUUUGGUAAUUGGGGUGAAGUCGUAACAAGGUAGC